AGGACUAACGCUGGCGGCGUGCCUAACACAUGCAAGUCGAACGAGGGGUAGCAAUACCCCUAGUGGCAGACGGGUGAGUAACACGUAGUCAACCUACCUCUUAAUGGGGGAUAACUAGCCGAAAGGUUAGCUAAUACCGCAUACGAUCGUCGAGUGGCAUCACACGACGAUGAAAGGAGCAAUCCGUUGAGAGAGGGGACUGUGUCCCAUUAGUUAGUUGGUGGGGUAAUGGCCUACCAAGACUCCGAUGGGUAGCUGGCUUGAGAGAGCGACCAGCCACACUGGAACUGAGACACGGUCCAGACUCCUACGGAGGCAGCAGUGAGGAAUUUUCCGCAAUGGGGGAAACCCUGACGGAGCGACGCCGCGUGUGGGAAGAAGGCCUUCGGGUCGUAAACCACUGUCGAGGGGGACGAGUAUUGACGGUACCCCUGGAGGAAGCCCGGCUAACUACGUGCCAGCAGCCGC
rnacentral:rRNA from 1 species